rnacentral:rRNA from 3 species
ACGGCCACACCUAGGCGAAAACACCAGUUCCCGUCCGAUCACUGCAGUUAAGCGUCUGAGGGCCUCGUUAGUACUAUGGUUGGAGACAACAUGGGAAUCCGGGGUGCUGUAGGCU